AGUGAAAAAGAACCUGAAACCGUGUACGUACAAGCAGUGGGAGCACGCUUAGGCGUGUGACUGCGUACCUUUUGUAUAAUGGGUCAGCGACUUAUAUUCUGUAGCAAGGUUAACCGAAUAGGGGAGCCGAAGGGAAACCGAGUCUUAACUGGGCGUUAAGUUGCAGGGUAUAGACCCGAAACCCGGUGAUCUAGCCAUGGGCAGGUUGAAGGUUGGGUAACACUAACUGGAGGACCGAACCGACUAAUGUUGAAAAAUUAGCGGAUGACUUGUGGCUGGGGGUGAAAGGCCAAUCAAACCGGGAGAUAGCUGGUUCUCCCCGAAAGCUAUUUAGGUAGCGCCUCGUGAAUUCAUCUCCGGGGGUAGAGCACUGUUUCGGCAAGGGGGUCAUCCCGACUUACCAACCCGAUGCAAACUGCGAAUACCGGAGAAUGUUAUCACGGGAGACACACGGCGGGUGCUAACGUCCGUCGUGAAGAGGGAAACAACCCAGACCGCCAGCUAAGGUCCCAAAGUCAUGGUUAAGUGGGAAACGAUGUGGGAAGGCCCAGACAGCCAGGAUGUUGGCUUAGAAGCAGCCAUCAUUUAAAGAAAGCGUAAUAGCUCACUGGUCGAGUCGGCCUGCGCGGAAGAUGUAACGGGGCUAAACCAUGCACCGAAGCUGCGGCAGCGACGCUUAUGCGUUGUUGGGUAGGGGAGCGUUCUGUAAGCCUGCGAAGGUGUGCUGUG
rnacentral:rRNA from 1 species